AUCUGCGUCACCUCCGCUUGUGUUAGGGGUUGGUUUGCAACAGAGCGACCAUAUUCCCAGGCUUGUGUGUACCCUCCGCUUGUCUGUGCGUGCGCCCCACUCCUGGCUUGUGGUAAAGUGCUGGUGGAUGCCUGGGCUCUCUUCCUUCCUCAUGUGUGUGUGUCCGCCGCUGCUGACUGGUCUGUAUGGGUUUUACUUUUCGUAGCAACCAUAUUGUCCAGCGUUUAGCGUUAAAUGCUAAUGCUGUCUCCGACAGGUGCAUUUGGAAUCAGCUGCUAGCAAUUACGCUGCUGACGUCACGCUCAGCUGACUGGGACCGCUGCUGUUUUGUCUCCGCCUGUUUUGUCUCCGCCUGCUUUGUCUCCGCCUGUUUUGUCUCCGCCUGCUUUGUCUCCGCCUGUUUUGUCUCCGGCCGAUUUGGUCGGCCGCCGUCUCCGCUGUUGUCUCCGGCUGUUGGUCGGCCGCCGUCUCCGCUGUUGUCUCCAGCAACUUGUCGGCCGCUGGCUCCGCUGUUGUUUCUGGUGGUUGGUCGGCCGGAGCUAAUUAUGGACUGAUCUUUUUAAAUGUGUGAUUGACUGGUAGUUAUAUUCUUUUCUUUUAUUUGGAUUAGUUUAUUCUUUUUUUGUGUUUUGUUUCCAUUUGGGUAUUUGUUAUAUUGUAUAAUUUGUUAUAUUAAUUCGAAUCUUGCUAUCAUUUAUAUUUUGUUCAGUUAGUGGGUUUUGUUGUGUUGAUUUGCUUAUUUCUCCCUCAUUAAUUUCUGUUAUCCUUUCAGUUGCUGAAGGCUGGUGGUGGCGCUGGUGAUCCGGGUGGCGGGUCCCCCCUCUUCGUGUGUGCUGUGCUCCCUGGGAUUUGGUUCACUUCACAGAGUGUGUGUCACGUGUGCGUGGGUGAUUUUAGUUGGUUUGGUGGAUCCCUCUCCCUUUCACUAGCCCCUGUCCAACCGGUAAGCCUCAGCACCUGAUAAGGUUCCCUUUUUUCCCUUCCCCGUGUGAA